rnacentral:rRNA from 1 species
CUCGUAGGCGGCUUGUUGCGUCGGCUGUGAAAUCCCGUGGCUUAACUGCGGGCUUGCAGCCGAUACGGGCAGGCUAGAGUUCGGUAGGGGAGACUGGAAUUCCUGGUGUAGCGGUGAAAUGCGCAGAUAUCAGGAGGAACACCGGUGGCGAAGGCGGGUCUCUGGGCCGAUACUGACGCUGAGGAGCGAAAGCGUGGGGAGCGAACAGGAUUAGAUACCCUGGUAGUCCACGCUGUAAACGUUGGGCGCUAGGUGUGGGAGGUAUCGACCCCUUCCGUGCCGGAGGAAACCCACUGAGUGGUCCGCCUGGGGAGUACGGUCGCAAGAUUAAA